UACGGGGGGGGCAAGCGUUGUUCGGAAUUACUGGGCGUAAAGCGUGCGCAGGCGGCUUUGCAAGACAGAUGUGAAAUCCCCGGGCUCAACCUGGGAACUGCAUUUGUGACUGCAAGGCUGGAGUACGGCAGAGGGGGAUGGAAUUCCGCGUGUAGCAGUGAAAUGCGUAGAUAUGCGGAGGAACACCGAUGGCGAAGGCAAUCCCCUGGGCCUGUACUGACGCUCAUGCACGAAAGCGUGGGGAGCAAACAGG
rnacentral:rRNA from 1 species